rnacentral:rRNA from 1 species
UACGUAGGGUGCGAGCGUUAAUCGGAAUUACUGGGCGUAAAGCGUGCGCAGGCGGUUCGUUGUGUCUGAUGUGAAAGCCCCGGGCUCAACCUGGGAAUGGCAUUGGAAACUGGCGAGCUGGAGUGUGGCAGAGGGGGGUGGAAUUCCGCGUGUAGCAGUGAAAUGCGUAGAGAUCGGAAAGAACACCGGUGGCGAAGGCGGCUCUCUGGACCGAUACUGACGCUGAGGCGCGAAAGCGUGGGGAGCAAACAGG